GGGCAGCAUGGUCUUAGCUUGCUAAGGCCGAUGGCGACUGGCGCACGGGUGAGUAACACGUAUCCAACCUGCCGUCUACUCUUGGACAGCCUUCUGAAAGGAAGAUUAAUACAAGAUGGCAUCAUGAGUCCGCAUGUUCACAUGAUUAAAGGUAUUCCGGUAGACGAUGGGGAUGCGUUCCAUUAGAUAGUAGGCGGGGUAACGGCCCACCUAGUCUUCGAUGGAUAGGGGUUCUGAGAGGAAGGUCCCCCACAUUGGAACUGAGACACGGUCCAAACUCCUACGGGAGGCAGCAGUGAGGAAUAUUGGUCAAUGGGCGAGAGCCUGAACCAGCCAAGUAGCGUGAAGGAUGACUGCCCUAUGGGUUGUAAACUUCUUUUAUAAAGGAAUAAAGUCGGGUAUGGAUACCCGUUUGCAUGUACUUUAUGAAUAAGGAUCGGCUAACUCCGUGCCAGCAGCCGCGGUAAUACGGAGGAUCCGAGCGUUAUCCGGAUUUAUUGGGUUUAAAGGGAGCGUAGAUGGAUGUUUAAGUCAGUUGUGAAAGUUUGCGGCUCAACCGUAAAAUUGCAGUUGAUACUGGAUAUCUUGAGUGCAGUUGAGGCAGGCGGAAUUCGUGGUGUAGCGGUGAAAUGCUUAGAUAUCACGAAGAACUCCGAUUGCGAAGGCAGCCUGCUAAGCUGCAA
rnacentral:rRNA from 1 species